rnacentral:rRNA from 1 species
GACGAACGCUGGCGGCGUGCUUAACACAUGCAAGUCGAACGGAAAGGCCCUGCUUUUGUGGGGUGCUCGAGUGGCGAACGGGUGAGUAACACGUGAGUAACCUGCCCUUGACUUUGGGAUAACUUCAGGAAACUGGGGCUAAUACCGGAUAGGAGCUCCUGCUGCAUGGUGGGGGUUGGAAAGUUUCGGCGGUUGGGGAUGGACUCGCGGCUUAUCAGCUUGUUGGUGGGGUAGUGGCUUACCAAGGCUUUGACGGGUAGCCGGCCUGAGAGGGUGACCGGCCACAGUGGGACUGAGAUACGGCCCAGACUCUUACGGGAGGCAGCAGUGGGGAAUAUUGCACAAUGGGCGGAAGCCUGAUGCAGCAACGCCGCGUGCGGGAUGACGGCCUGCGGGUUGUAAACCGCUUUCGCCUGUGACGAAGCGUGAGUGACGGUAAUGGGUAAAGAAGCACCGGCUAACUACGUG